rnacentral:rRNA from 1 species
UCCCAGCAGUCCAAGUCGCAAUCACUUUUAUUGGGUCUAAAACAUCCGUAGCUUGUUUUGUAAGUCUCUUGUGAAAUCUGGCUUCUUAAGAGUCAAAGUGCAAGAGAUACUGCAAGGCUAGAGACCGGUAGAGGUAAGGAGUACGAACAGGGUAGCGGUAAAAUGUGUUGAUCCUGUUUGGACUAUCAACAGCGAAGGCACCUUACUAGGACGGAUCUGACAGUGAGGGAUGAAGGCUAGGGGCGCAAAGUGG